CGCCUUUUAGAGAUAACAUGUUUGGAACUUCCUGAUCAGCUGUGAAAUCGGGAACUUUCGAAUCCCUAGCAGUGAAAUUUGGAACCACUACCUUGCUUGGAGAAACAAAAGAAAACAACCCAGAUGAUAACGUAGUAUAUCCAAUGCAUAUAUUUUGAUGGUGCAGCACUGUGAAGAUUAUACAUGAUACACUUUAAAAACGCCCCUGCAAAUCAACGGAUUCACAAUCUAAGAUCACCACGGAUUACAGCCCAGAUCGUUCUCCAGGAUAGAGUUCCCGGGAUUAAGUUCUUAGUGCGAAAAGAACAUGAAACACCUGUGAACACGGCCAGAUAAUGUAUAAAGUAAGCCACUCGGGAGAAGUUCUGAGACUUUAUUAGAUGGAUACUUUCUUUAUGAUGAAAUAAAAAAGUCAAAUAACAAAUCCAACACGAUCGAAUCAACAGAGGUCUAGGGACGAAAUAUUCCGGGAUUGGACUUAAUUAUUCGAUGCAAUUACAACCGAAUCAUUCACAGAUGCUUCAUUUUUCACAGUUCCGACUUUUCUAAAAUAAGGAUCAAGGUCUGACAUCUUGCUGUAUAAUUAACAUUCUUUGAAUCGAUUUGCGCAAAACCCUGGAUAUAACAUGUAUAUUUUGCGCAAUCAUGUGAACGACAUUAAGAUCUAGCUAGAUCUCUACGCAGACGGAUAACGUUCAAUGUAGGGGGAAAAUCUGAAAAUUGGAUCAAAGCGAAACGAGACAUAGUAAAGAGGACUAGAUAUCGUGAAUAAAACACCUACAUUACGAAAGGUUGACACGUAACUCCUAAGAUACAAUUAUAGAUAGCUGAUCGCCCGAUGCCAGAAUCAUACCCGGAUUAGCGUUCUUAGUGAUUGCGUUUUGCUUUGAGGCUAAAUAAUGUCAAGGAAAAUGUCAAUAUAAUGUUGCCUAUUAAUGAGCAAUGGUAAUUAUCCCGGAUGCAUGUCUAAUGUCACAAAAUUACAUAUCUUCUGAAUCCAAAUUCUCCAAUCAAAUACCUUUACCAUGGAGGCGUCUGCAGCUACCCCAUCUGGUGGCCAAAAUGCAAACGACAUUGCAUUUGACAAUAAAGCUUACCUUAGGAGCGACUCGGAGCCCCAAGUGGAAAUUGGGGAUCGAUCCGCCUCAAAUGAAACUCAGUGGAAUCUACCAGGAAAUGACUUAAAAUCCGGGGACAGCUUAGUGAGUUCCAUAAUAUGUAAUGGUCAGACAAUUCGUCCAGGUAUUAGCUCCGAGAAUCAAUAUGACCCCAAGCAACCGGGGAAUGCACAAAUUUCUACCUCAAAUCAUCAAAGGUACAAGGUGGACGCAACGAACGAUAAACGCGCCAGUAAACCAGAAACUAUAGCGUUGAACAACAACACAAUGCACACGACACUUUUAGUUGACGGUGAACAUAACUCGCUAACAGCUGAACCCAAUAGCAUUAACGGUAUUAAACCAAAAGACAAUGUCCUAAGGAAGGAACUCGAGGCGGGGAUAGAUGUCUCACCCCAGCGCGAAACAUGGAGUAAGAAGUUAGACUUUCUUCUCUCUGUAAUAGGCUUCGCAGUGGAUUUAGGGAAUGUUUGGAGGUUUCCUUAUAUCUGUUACAAGAACGGGGGUGGUGCGUUCCUGAUCCCAUAUUUUAUAAUGUUGCUGGUUGCUGGUCUGCCACUCUUCUAUAUGGAACUAGCCUUGGGCCAGUACCAGCGAUGUGGCUGCAUAACAGUGUGGAAAAGAAUAUGCCCCAUGUUCAAAGGUGUAGGGUAUGGCAUCUGCGUCAUAGCGACGUUCGUAGGGAUGUAUUACAAUACUAUAAUCGCCUGGUCCAUGUACUACCUGUUCGCCUCGUUUCGCCUGGAGGUACCUUGGGCCAGCUGCGGCAAUGCCUGGAACACAGAAAACUGCACUGCCCUCUCUGAUUUAUCGGGCAAAAAUAAAUCUGAUUUUGUCAACCAGACGCUGUCUUCCUCAGAAGAAUAUUACGAGCGAAAUGUAUUAGAGAUGCACAAAUCCCCGGGGCUUCACGAGCUUGGUACCAUAAAGUGGUCUUUAUCGUUAUGUCUACUUGCGACAUUCUUUAUAGUCUACUUCUCCCUUUGGAAAGGAAUUAAAAGCUCUGGGAAGGCAGUCUGGAUAACGGCUACACUUCCCUAUGUAGUGCUAAUAAUUCUGCUAAUAAGGGGCGUAUUGUUGGAAGGCUCCUUACAAGGAAUCAUUUACUACUUAAAUCCAAGAUGGGAGGAAUUACUCCAUGCAUCCGUUUGGAUAGAUGCUGCCGCCCAAGUGUUCUUCUCUUUGGGACCAGGAUUUGGUGUUCUUCUGGCUCUAUCCAGCUAUAACAAGUUCAAUAACAACUGUUACAAAGACGCGUUGCUAACGGCAUCAAUCAACUGUUUGACCAGCUUCCUAGCAGGGUUUGUCGUUUUCUCUGUUCUUGGCUACAUGGCCUUCCAGCAAGGGAAAGAAGUCAAUAAAGUUGCAUCUGAAGGUGCCGGCCUGGUGUUUGUAGUGUACCCGGAGGCAAUAGCCACCCUCACAGGCUCUACCUUCUGGGCAAUCAUCUUCUUUCUGAUGCUGAUCACGCUAGGCUUAGACAGUACGUUCGGAGGUCUGGAAGCAGUCAUAACUGGUAUAUGCGACGAGUACCCACGAGCCAUCGGAAGACGACGAGAGAUGUUUGUGGCAGGAUACAUUAUCUUAAUAUUUUUCUGUGCUCUCCCAACCUGUACAUACGGUGGGAACUAUGUGUUAACGCUACUAGACCAGCAUGGUGCCCCUAUUUCAAUUCUACUAAUAGCGUGUUUGGAGGCCAUCGCCGUCAACUGGUUCUACGGUGUGAAUAGAUUUGCUGGAGACAUCAAAAGAAUGACGGGGUUUACUCCAGGAAUUUACUGGAAAAUCUGCUGGGCCGGAAUCAGUCCUAUAUUCUUAAUAGUAUUAUUUAUCCUAAGCUGUUACUUCUACGCUCCCCUAAAGAUAGGUUCAUAUACCUACCCACCAUGGGCCAUCUCAGUAGGCUGGUCUGUCACGUGUGCUUCAAUUGUACCCAUUCCUAUAUACAUUAUAUACAAGUUCAUCAUUUCUAAAGGCGAUAUAAAACAGCGUCUCUAUCAGAUGAUUUCGCCGGAAGAAACGCCCUCUCACGUUGCAGAUGAACUACAAAUGCGAGAAGUAAAAAAGGCCGAGUUUUAACAUUACAACUUCUCGAACCUACUGACCGACAUUGUUCAAGACGUUGAGAACUAUGGAUCGGCGGUGAAUUUGCCCAUUUUGGUUAUCAAAUGCCAAAUGGAUCAUAUUUUAGUGCAACUCAUAUUUAAGUGAUACGUGUACAGACGAAAUGGAAAUGAUAAUCAUCUUUACAUUUUAAAGAUGGGGACGUUCCAAUGGUGAACUUUCUUGAGAUACAUGGUCGCCUGUGAUAUAUCGAUACUGUAAUCCAAAUUCAAUAAGUCUACAACACAUGAUACGAUUAUUUUCCAAGGACAUCAUAUAAAACAUUGAACACAUUUUAGCUUGAACUCUCGUGGCUUGCAUCAGAGUGAGAAUGCUAUGGGCCUGAUUUUGCGAACAUACGAGAUUAAAUGUAAUGACAAUCGAGUAUUAAAUGUCGAGUGGUGUUAUAUGGUCAUAGCAGGCGCAGGAAGUUGCACUCGCUUCUAAAGGUUUGACAACCUAGAUGGGAAAUCAUUGGACAAAAUUGGAGAAAGGCCUAUUUACGCUCGGCGAUUCCAUUAUAAUUGUUCAUCAUUUUCCAUGCAGUAUAUUUUCGACCAAUUGUAAUCGAAAAAUGUCAACCCUAUCUGAUAACGGGCCUGUGUUCCUAAACUUUCAGAGGGGAUGUAUCAGUGAAGCCAAAGAUCUGGGAACUAAUUGUUUACUAUUCUGAAUUACAGAGUGACUUAUUCUAUAGCAACGUUCCUGUAGCCUGAGUUUAUGAACAAAUUCGUCAAUUUCCUUCCUCCAAGCUUCAUUAAUUCCAUUGUCUUCCUCACAUGUAAGAAAAGUGAUCCCAACCCCCUUGACCUACCAAUAUGCAAGGACGAUACCCAACUGAGAGAGUUGUGACUAUGAGUUCAAAUCUAGCUACACAUGGCACUGAUGGCGAUUUAGGCUACUGCUAUAAAAACGAACAAUGAUAAUACAAGGGGUUAUCUUAUAUUCUGAUUAAAACUGAUAAUUUAACCGACCUAACUACCCUAAAUACAGGU
rnacentral:misc_RNA from 1 species